rnacentral:other from 1 species
CAUGCCCUGCUGUGUUCGUGACAACCGAUAAAGUUUUGAGCUAACACUUUUUUUAUGGGAACCUGGUCUUCGACUGCAGCGCAGCAGCCUUUGUAAAGAGGACCUGUUAAACAGUCGAGAGGGUACCCACCUUUCGGGGAACAGUUCAAAACAACGGCCCACGGCAUGGCGGGGUUUUU